UGGGGCUUAAAGAUGAUUUUGGUGUCUGGUUAGCGGAUAAGCAAGAUAUCUCAAGCGAUAUUGCAUAUUUUUUCCAAUCUCUGUUUACUUCUUCUGGCCCCAGACUAAUGUCAGAAGCUCUGAAUUGCUUGGAGGCGAAAAUUGAUGACCAUAUGAACAACCAAUUGCUUGCCCCCUGUGACUAAAGAGGAGAUUAAAAGUGCAACAUUCAGUCUUGGCAGCAAUAAAGCUCCGGAUCCCGACGGGUUUUCAGGUGAAGCUAAUUGUGGGAAGCUUGCACAAAUCUUGAAUACUUAUUGUAUUGCUUCCUACUAGAUAAAUCAAGUAUUUUCUUCUCGCAUACUACUCCUCCAAUCAUCAAACAGAGGACUUGCCAGAUUCUUGGAAUUCAAGCAGUUGCUAAACUGGGUAAAUAUCUUGGUACCCAAGCAUGUGGGGAAAAACCAAAAAUCAAGCCUUGGGCUACAUCCGAGAAAGGGUAACUCGCAAAAUACAAGGCUGGAGUGAGAAUACCCUAUCAUUUGCUGGGAGGGAGGUAAUGAUUAAAUCUGUUCUUAAUGCUAUACCAAUUUACCCAAUGAACUGCUUCAAGUUCCCUAUCAAAACUUGUAAAGAGCUCAACAGUCUCAUUGCAAAUUUCUGGUGGGAUGGUGAUAUAGAUGGACUGAAGACUCAUUGGAAAGCUUGGGAAACUAACAGAUUCCAAACUGAUUGGUGGAAUGGGCUUUCGGGAUUUUGAAAAGAUGAAUGAUGCAUGGCUCGCUAAAACUGCCUGGCGAUUACUCCAUAAACCUAAUGAGCUCUGGGUACGUGUUCUUAAGAGUAUCUACUUUCCCAAGAAUGAUUUUAUUGAUGCUAAAAAGGGUACAAGGCUUCAUGGUGUUGGUCUAGCAUUAUAGAUGGCCGUGAUUUUCUUAAUAAAAACUUACUAUGGGAUGUUAGAGAUGGUACUUCCAUCCGCAUCUGGGGUGAUAAAUGGGUCCCCAAUGUUGAUUUCCCCAAGAAACCAAAAAAUGAUCAAUCGUUCAUAGUUAAUUAUGGGAAAGUAAAUGACCUCAUUGUGAAUGGUGCUUGGAAUCUCUCUCCCAUUAGACACUUCAUCCCGGGCCAUGUUCUGAACGCCAUCCAUCAAAUCCCUUUACCUGGUAAUGGUAUUAAGGACAAGCUUGUGUGGACAUCUGCAAACAAUGGAGUUUAUCAGGUUAAACUUGGUUACCAGGAUGCAAAAGCAACAUAAUGUGAUCUUUCAGCCAAAGUUGGACCUUCCUGGACCAUCUCUCAUACUAUAUGGAAACAGAUUUGGAGGAUUCAAUGUGUGCCUCGAGUUCAACAUUUCUUGUGGCGAAUUCUCUCCAAAGCAGUAGCCACGAAUGCUGCUUUAUUUAAAAGAAGACGUUCUCGAACUCAGGGAAACCAAGCAGCUGAUCUACUGGUGGCUGUUGCUUUUAAGGAGGUGAGCCCUUUGGGGUGGGUUGACGUACCAUCACCUUCUUUGUCUGCUAUUCUGACCUCUGAUGCAUUCGAAGCUUCAAUGGCGUUCUCAGAUGCUUCUCUUCCAUGAGAAUGAAUUGGCGUUGGUUCACUUGUUUUACUGUUUUGUUUCUGGUUUGCUUUUGUUAUGGGUUUUUUCUUCCUUUUUUUUUUCCAGUUGUUGA